CUCUCCUAAUCACAAGACAUGGAAACUUGCCCAGGUAACGAGGGAAAAUGCAGCACAAUUCUUUUCUCUUGUUAAGGCGCUGUCAUUUCAACGUGAGCCUGGAGUGCUCGAAACAGAAUUCGAGUUUUCAAGAUGAAAGCAUGGCAAGAAGUGUCAGAUGGCAGUGGUGUCAGCAGGUGUGUUUCUGAAAAGUGAAAAAUCUCAAGAAGGAAAAACAGAAAUGGUACGCUUUAUCCAUCUCGCUUAGUGAAAGAGCUGCAGUCGAAAUUGUUUACAGUAGCAGGUACAAUGAAUAUUGUCACAAAUUAUGCUAAUUUUUGAAGUGGUGUGGGUGCUGACUCCUAGUAGUAUCAAAAAUAUGUUCAGGAUUGUUUUGAUAGCUGUAAUUAUAAUUAAAAAAUGUUGGUGGGGUGUAUUGAUUAAUUUCUGUUAAAAGCUGUUCCUGUGUGUUACAUGUAACAAACAUGGUAAAUAUUUGUUUACAGUUUUGUUUAACAAACCAUGCAUUAAAGUUGAAGUGAAGUCACCAAAAAGGAAAUAGGUGUAUGGAUAUGUGAUUUUGAGAUUAAAGUUAGUCUUAAAAUGUAAAUAAAAUGUGGAAUGUGUCCUCAGAAA